rnacentral:rRNA from 1 species
GAGGAUCAUUAUUGAAUUACAGGCGAGGGUUGUCGCUGGCCUCUCGGGGCAUGUGCACGCCCGAGCCAUCCCCAACAAACACCGUGGGCCUUCGGGCCUGCGUAUAUUUACUCUGAAUGUGUAUAGAAUGUAAACCAUUUGUUUGCCCUGAAAAAGCAAACGAAAAAAAGUACAACUUUCAACAACGGAUCUCUUGGCUCUCGCAUCGAUGAAGAACGCAGCGAAAUGCGAUAAGUAAUGUGAAUUGCAGAUUUUCAGUGAAUCAUCGAAUCUUUGAACGCACCUUGCGCCCCUUGGUAUUCCGAGGGGCAUGCCUGUUUGAGUGUCAUUAAAUCCUCAACCGCGCCGAUUGAUUUCGGUGGGGCUUGGACUUGGAGCGUGCUGGCGAAGGUCGGCUCCUCUUUAAAUGCAUCAGCGGAAGAAACCUUUGUCUUUCCUGCCUUCGGUGUGAUAAUCGUGUUGCGCCGUGGUGGAACUUCAACGAUCCGCUUACAAUGGUCUUCGGACAAAACCUCAUGUCAUCUUGACCUCAAAUCAGGUAGGACUACCCGCUGAACUUAAGCAUAUCAAUAAGCGGAGGAAAAGAAACUAACAAGGAUUCCCCUAGUAACUGCGAGUGAAGCGGGAAGAGCUCAAAUUUAAAAUCUGGUGGUCCUCGCGGCCGUCCGAGUUGUAAUCUGGAGAAGCGUUUUCCG